rnacentral:rRNA from 1 species
UAGAGUUUUGAUCAUGGCUCAGAGUGAACGCUGGCGGUAGGCCUAACACAUGCAAGUCGAACGGCAGCACAGGAGAGCUUGCUCUCUGGGUGGCGAGUGGCGGACGGGUGAGGAAUACAUCGGAAUCUACUUUUUCGUGGGGGAUAACGUAGGGAAACUUACGCUAAUACCGCAUACGACCUACGGGUGAAAGCAGGGGAUCUUCGGACCUUGCGCGAUUGAAUGAGCCGAUGUCGGAUUAGCUAGUUGGCGGGGUAAAGGCCCACCAAGGCGACGAUCCGUAGCUGGUCUGAGAGGAUGAUCAGCCACACUGGAACUGAGACACGGUCCAGACUCCUACGGGAGGCAGCAGUGGGGAAUAUUGGACAAUGGGCGCAAGCCUGAUCCAGCCAUACCGCGUGGGUGAAGAAGGCCUUCGGGUUGUAAAGCCCUUUUGUUGGGAAAGAAAUCCAGCUGGCUAAUACCCGGUUGGGAUGACGGUACCCAAAGAAUAAGCACCGGCUAACUUCGUGCCAGCAGCCGCGGUAAUACGAAGGGUGCAAGCGUUACUCGGAAUUACUGGGCGUAAAGCGUGCGUAGGUGGUCGUUUAAGUCCGUUGUGAAAGCCCUGGGCUCAACCUGGGAACUGCAGUGGAUACUGGGCGACUAGAGUGUGGUAGAGGGUAGCGGAAUUCCUGGUGUAGCAGUGAAAUGCGUAGAGAUCAGGAGGAACAUCCAUGGCGAAGGCAGCUACCUGGACCAACACGACACGAGGCACGAAAGCUGAGCAU